UCACUGGACUGAGAGGAGUAUCU
rnacentral:miRNA from 1 species